rnacentral:rRNA from 1 species
GACGAACGCUGGCGGCGUGCUUAACACAUGCAAGUCGAACGGGUCUGCCCUGUUUUUUGCGGGGUGGGUCUGUGGCGAACGGGUGAGUAACACGUGAGUAACCCGCCCUUCACUUCUGGAUAACCGUCUGAAAGGGUGGCUAAUACGGGGUGUUCUGGCUGUGCCGCAUGGUGCGGCUGGGAAAGAUUCACUUUUGUGGAGCUUUGGUGGGGUAUGGGCCCGCGGCCUUUCAGCUUGAUGGUGGGGUGAUGGCCUGCCAAGGCUGUGACGCGUCGGCGGCCUGAGAGGGUGGGCGGUCACACUAGGAGUGAGAUGCGGCCGAGACUCCUGCGGGAGGCAGCAGUGGGGGGUAUUGCACAGUGGGCGGAAGCCUGAUGCAGCGACGUCGCGUGAGGGAUGGAGGCCUGCGGGUUGUGAACCUCUUUCGCCGGUGAAGAAGGUCCUGCUCUUUGUGGUGGGGUUGACGGUAGCCGGGUUAUGAAGCGCCGGCUAACUACGUG